rnacentral:rRNA from 1 species
GGGGAAUAUUGGGCAAUGGAGGCAACUCUGACCCAGCCAUGCCGCGUGGGUGACGAAGGUCUUCGGAUUGUAAAGCCCUUUCGGCGGGGACGAUGAUGACGGUACCCGCAGAAGAAGCCCCGGCUAACUUCGUGCCAGCAGCCGCGGUAAUACGAAGGGGGCUAGCGUUGUUCGGAAUUACUGGGCGUAAAGGGCGUGUAGGCGGCCCGCUAAGUCAGGUGUGAAAGGCCUGGGCUCAACCCAGGAAAUGCGCCUGAGACUGACGGGCUUGAAUCCGGGAGAGGAUGGUGGAACUCCCAGUGUAGAGGUGAAAUUCGUAGAUAUUGGGAAGAACACCCGUGGCGAAGGCGGCCAUCUGGACCGGUAUUGACGCUAAGGCGCGACAGCGUGGGGAGCAAAC